rnacentral:rRNA from 1 species
CAGUCGCCGCGGGAAUACGUAGGGUGCGAGCGUUAAUCGGAUUUACUGGGCGUAAAGCGUGCGCAGGCGGCCCGUUAAGACAGGUGUGAAAUCCCCGGGCUUAACCUGGGAACUGCGCUUGUGACUGCACAGCUAGAGUAUGGCAGAGGGGGGUGGAAUUCCACGUGUAGCAGUGAAAUGCGUGGAGAUGUGGAGGAACACCGAUGGCGAAGGCAGCCCCCUGGGCCAAUACUGACGCUCAUGCACGAAAGCGUGGGGAGCAAACAGGAUUAGAUACCCCAGUAGUCCCUGUCUCUUAUAC